ensembl:lncRNA
UGCAAAUGCAGGAUCUAGCCAAAUGAAAACACACAUCACAGCUAGUUUUUCUCAAUUACUUCUCAAAAAUCUUUUGAAGACAAUCCAUACAGCAAUUUUUGACAUAUGAAAAAACUGGAACAAUUUUAUUUCCUGCUUGACCAACCUGAUCUCCUUCUAUGAUCUAGUGACCUGUCUGGUGGAUGAGGGAAAUGCUAGUGAUGUAGUCUACCUAGACUUCAGCAAAGCCUUUGACACUGCCUUUCACAGUAUUCUCCUGCAGAAGCUGGCAGCCCAUGGCUUGGACAGAUUAACAGAAAGCUAAUUGACAGCAAAAAUACACACAUUCAACUAGAAGAAAAUGAAGACCUCAACUGCCUGCACUUCAGUAAAGGUAUAAAGCAGGAAAAAGGGGCUGACAAGAUAUUCGUCACCGUGCUUGUGCAUCUCUGGAGCUUCUUUUUCCUUUGCAGUGUAGCAGC